UACAGAGGGUGCGAGCGUUAAUCGGAAUUAUGUACGUGGGCGUAAAGCGGUGCGUGACGGUUAAUUUAAGUCGGGUGCGAAAGCCCCGGGCUCAACCUGGGAAUUGCAUUCGAGACUGGAAUAGCUAGGGUACGGGUAGAGGGAAGUUGGAAUUUCCGGUGUAGCGGUGAAAAUGCGUAGAUAUCGGAAGGAACAUCAGUGACGAAAGCGA
rnacentral:rRNA from 1 species